UUCAACUUUAUGGGUGACACAUGGUAAAAAAUUUGAGACAUGGAUUUGUCUGCUUGCCCAUUUGCUUUGUGGCUAUUGCACAGCUGUAAUUCUAAGGUAUAUAUGUUCUUUUGAAGUUUAUGUGGUAUAUCUAGAUUUAUUAUUAUAAUUUAUAAAAAAAGCCUUUGGUCAAAUUUUUUUCUUCAAGAUUAUAAUAAUAAUAUAACAACAAAUUUAUUAGAUUGUAUUUCCUGCUUUCAGAUUAUGCCAAGAGAUUGUGUUUUUGAAAGUUGAAGUUGCAGAGCUUCUAUUACCAAAUAUUUUUGUAAAUCUAGCUAGGAGGAGAGACUUAGAUAUUGAUAUUCAACGAUUGAUAUCCUUGCAGGUGUUUUGGCUUUCUAUUGAUUAUCUUGCAGUUGCAAAGUCCGCAGUUUUACCUCAACAUAUUGAGAUACUUGUCUCAGCAGUCACUCAUAUCAAUGAACCUGACAGCUUAUAUGGGAUCAUUCUGUCCAACAAGUAUAAGGCUGCUUGGCAUGCUGGAAACUGGAAUUUUUCCUUGCUUUACAUGGGAGAUAAUUCACAGAGUGAGCAAAACUAAAAGUGACCAUUUCAAUGAAAAUCUGCACAGAUAUUUCGACUGGUUUCCCUGUGGUUCACUCUAUCAGAUAGACAAGAUAUCAUAACUAACAUUGCAUAAUUAGCUAAGAAAAUGGACUCACAACAAAGGCAAUUGCACAAAGGAUGAUGAAUUGAAGGAUGGAGCAAGUGUCAUGCAUGGUUUACUUUUGUGUAUCUUAUAAUGUUUCUGUUUUUCAUUUUUGAAGUAAAAAUUGUUCAAGAUUAUAAAAUUUUAUUAUGUUAUGCUUUCAAACUUAAGUUAGAACUAAGAUCUCAUGAAGUAGACACAUUCAUGGUU